CGGUAAUACGUAGGGUGCGAGCGUUGUCCGGAAUUAGGUUGCGUAAAGGGCUCGUAGGCGGUUUGUCGCGUCGGGAGUGAAAACCAGGUGCUUAACACCUGGCUUGCUUUCGAUACGGGCAGACUAGAGGUACGCAGGGGAGAACGGAAUUCCUGGUGUAGCGGUGAAAUGCGCAGAUAUCAGGAGGAACACCGGUGGCGAAGGCGGUUCUCUGGGCAUGACCUGACGCUGAGGAGCAGGGAUGUGGGGAGCGAACAGGAUUAGAUACCCUGGUAGUCCACACCGUAAACGUUGGGCGCUAGGUGUGGGAUCCAUUCCACGGGUUCCGUGCCGCAGCUAACGCAUUAAGCGCCCCGCCUGGGGAGUACGGCCGCAAGGCUAAA
rnacentral:rRNA from 1 species